rnacentral:lncRNA from 1 species
UUGUGUUGAUCUAGCUGGUUCGAUCUGAUGAUCUUUUAUUGGCUAUGUUGCAGUUUCAGAAGGAGAUCUCGGUGAAGAGCGGCGAGUUAUCGGUUUCGAUAGAAGAUUCUACUUUCGAAAAGGCCGGGCAGAUAGAUGCUGUUUUGGGCCUGCUCGCGUUCGACUCACAUUUGGCUCGAUAUUCGGCUCGCUCGAGCUCGACUCGAAAUUAAAUGAGCCGAGGUUGAACAAAAGAAAAAGUUCGAAAUUCAUUUCAAGUUGAGCUUGAAUGUUACUCGGCUCGUUCGAAUUAGGCUCGAAAAGCUCGAAUAUAUAUAUAUAUAUAUAUACUAGUGUAGGCCCGCGCUUCGCGGUGGAUCGAUAAUAUUUCAGAUAUUUAGCCAAUCAAUAUAUUUAAUUAUUAAACUUUUAAAAUUUUAAGAAAAUAUAACAAAAAAUACAAAAAAAAAAUAAUAUAAUCUUUUAUACAUUAUAAAAACUAAUCUUUUUAUUAAUAUUUUGUAACUUUCAUUAUUUGUGGAAUUAUAGUUUUCUUAUUACCCACUUAAAUAUUUAAUCAAACGUAAUAGUUUUUUUGAGGACUUAUUCUAAAUCAACAAAUAUAUAAAAUUGUCUUUACUUUGUUAAAAUUGAUUUGAGAAAGACAAAAUUAUUAUAUGCAUUUGAUGUAUAUUAAUACACCAUAUACCACAAUUUAUAUUAAAAAACUAUUUUUUAAUAUCAAAACUUAAUUAAAUAUAUCUAAUCUACAAACUGUAAAUAAAUUAAAUAUAUUUAUUUAAUUAAAUUUUAAUGCCAUGUAGAGAAUACUUAAUAAAAUAUACUCAUAAUUUCCAGAAAGAAGAAAUUUUUGCUUGCACCGGAUAUAUACUAAUAUUUCAUACACCGCACCGACUCUCCCUAAAGCAAGUGGCAAAGGGCUUAGUGGUUGGUACCUGAGGUCCCAAGUUCGAAUCCUAGUUGAUUCACGUUUUCAUAGUGUGCUAUCUAUCUCUCAAAAAAAAAAAAAAUUUCAUACACCGCAAAAAUAUAUUAAAUGAUUGAUAAAAUAUCUAAUAAGUAGUAUUGUAAAUGUAAAAUAAAAUAACUAUAUAGUAUAUAUAAUUUAAAUAUGUAUUG